rnacentral:lncRNA from 10 species
UUGAACCCCUGACCUCAAGUGAUCCACCCACCUUGGCCUUCCAAAAUGCUGGGAUUACAGGCGUGAGCUACUAUGCCCAGCCCCGAAUUUGAUUUUAUUAUACCAAUAUUAUCUUCUCCCCCUCCCACAGUUCCCCAAACACUUCUCUACACACUCUGGUCUGGCACAGUUUCAAAUUUGUGGAGUUGAUAUCUGGGGCUCCUACUGGAAGGAGGAUAAAAACAGAAGGAAUUUGGCACGGGGCUCCUCCAUCUUCCACGCAUGCGGCAUUUGUUCUGAGAAUGUCAGCUCCCUCACAGUGCAUGUCAGAAUGGCAUGCCAGCAUGGGCCUCUGGUCUAGCACACAGAAAGGGUGAAGAGUACACAUGGUGACCAUUGUCACUUUGCAGAUUUCCUGCCUCCCACUCACAUGUCUGAGACCAGUUUUGCUACUGUUGCACCGCUAACCACAGAAGCCAGAAAGGGAAACGACUUUCUUUCUUUUCUUCUUUUUUUUUUUUUUUUUUUGAGAUGGAGUCUCACUUUGUCGCCAGGCUGGAGUGCAGUGGCACGAUCUCGGCUCACCGCAACCUCCAACUCCCUGGUUCAAGCUAUUCUCCUGCCUCAGCCUCCCAAGUAGCUGGGAUUACAGGCAUGCACCACCACACCCAGCUAAUUUGUGUAUUUUUAGUAGAGACAGGAUUUCACCACGUUGGCCAGGCUGGUCUUGAUCUCCUGACUGUGUGAUCCACCCGCCUUGGCCUGUCAAAGUGAUGAGAUUACAGGCGUGAGCCACUGAGCCCAGCCAGGGAAAAUAAGUUUUCAAUAGAGAAUUUUCUAUUAAGGAAGAGAGUGUUCUUUCAGCAAAGACAGGCUUUAGCCACACCUGUUUUUAUAAGGAUUUGAGGGGAGGGAAAUAUGCCAAGAGACAACUUCAGAAGUUUAUAAAGACAAGAGCGACCUCUCCAAAACAGCUAGGAGAGUGGGUCUUUAGUGGUGAGGUCUUCAUCUCUGUCUGAUCUCUCUAGGCUGAAGGAAAGAUGUGAAUUUGCUGUGAAGGGAUAUUCUCCUCAAGGACACUUACCAUCUGUUUCCUGGGGAUAGGAAGGUAAGUCAUCAGUGUCAAGAACCUUACUGGUAAAACAAUAAAACAAUGUAUUCAUUCGGAUUUGUGCUCUUUAAGUGAGAGGGGUUCUAGAACAGCCUUUCUGUCUGGACCCCUUGAUGGUAAACCAUCCCGUGUGAGGUCUGCUCUUUACUGUGUGGACGAGGCCAGGGCUGUUAUUUGACAUCCGUGGCCACAGCCCACAGUCUAACGUCGGCCAGCUCCGGUGUGAUUGUACUUAGUACAUCAGUAGUCAUGAGAAAACUGGCUAAGAAAACACAGAGCUUCAACUGGAACAAAAUAUUAUACGUGCAACACCCAUGACCGUGUGGCUGUUUUAUCCCCAUUGCUCCUUUCUUUUCUGCAGAAGGUUCUUUUUAAAUUUUAACGUAUAUUUGUCCAAUUGUUUGGUAAUGCAUUUCCAUGUUUUCAGAAAUAGUGAAUCAAAUCUGGACUGGAACAACACUCCCUCACUUACCUCCUGCACCCAGCGCCUGCCUCGCUGUGGGAAUGCCCCAUCCUUGGUGUCUUAAAAUUUGCAGAGCUUCUUUACUUGUACAUAAGACAUGUGCAUAUACAGAGCAAAAAUUCUGCAUGACCUCACUUACGUGUGGACUCUAAAAAUGUCACACUCACAGAAGUGGAGAGUAGAAUGAUGGUUACCAGAGGCUGGAGGGAGGGGCGGGCAGGGAAAGGGGAGAGGUUGGUCAAUGGGUACAAAGUUAUCAUCAGUUAGAAGGAUUAAGUUCUGGUGCUCUAUUGCACCGCGUGAUGACUAUAGUUAAUACUAAUGUAUUGUGUAUUUGAAAAGACCUGAAGGAGAGGAUUUUCAAUGUUCUCACCACAAAGAAAUGGUAACUAUCGGAGGUGAUGGAUAUGCUAAUUAGCCUGGUUGUAUCAUUCCCCAGUGCAUAUGUGUAUCAAAGCAUCACACUGUAUCCCAUAAAUACAUGCAAUUAUUUUUUAAUUAAAUUUUUUUUAAAACUUAGGCCAGGCUUGGUGGCUCAUGCCUAUAAUCCCAGCACUUUGGGAGGCUGAGGAGGGGGGAUCAUUUGAGGUCAGGAGUUUGAAACCAGCCUGACCAACACAGGGAAACCCCCUCUGUACUAAAAAUACAAACAUCAGCCAGGUGUGGUGGCAUGUGCCUGUAAUCCUAGCUACUCAGGAGGCUGAGGCAGGAGGCUGAGGCGGGAGAAUCACUUGAACCCAGGAGGCAGAGGUUUCAGUGAGCCGAGAUCACACCACUGUACUCCAGCUUGAGCGACAGAGCGCAGGCUCUGUCUCAAAAAAAAAAAAAACCUAAAAACUUCAAAAAUAAAUGUGUAUCUUAUUGUCCCAAAUGUUUCACACACCAAAAAACCAUUCUUUUCUAAACCUUGUUUUUCUUUUCAUUGAACAAUAAUUUUUGGAGAGCUUUCCAAAGCAGCACAUACAGAAAUUCAUUUUUUGUAGCUCUAUAGUAUUUUAUCUUUGCACAAUUUAUUUCAAAGCCUCUAUUGAGGGACACGUGGACUGUUUACAAUGCUUUACUAUUAUUAAAAAAAAAGAAUGCUGCAGUGAAUUACCUUACACAUAUAUCUUUUGUGUUGUAUCUAUGGAAUAAAUUCCUAGAAAUAGAAUUGGGAGAGAUAUACAUUUGCAAUAAAUAUCACCAGACUGUCCUUUGUAGGCUUUGGCUUAUCACUUUAUAGCGUAAAAAUUUUUAUAAGAUAUAUCCUUACCUCAUACCAUAUAAAAAAUUAACUCAAAAUGAAACAAAAGCCUACAUGUAAGAGAAUACACAGGGAUAAAUCCUGAUGAUCUCAGAUUUGGCAACGGGUUCUUUGUUCUGAGAAUCCUGACUCCCUCACAGUGCGUGUCAGAAGCUCAAGCAACAAGAGAAAAACAUAGAUGAAAUGAAUUUCAACAAAAUUUUAAACUUUUGUGCAUUGAAGAACUCUAUCAAAAAAGUGAAAUGACAACCCACAGAAUGAGAGAAUAUGUUUGCCAACUGUAUAUGUCUGUUCAGGGUCUGUCUAAUAUUGUCCUGUGAUUUCCCAGAUUUUUUUUUUUGAGAUGGAGUCUCGCUCUGUUGCCCAGGCGGGAGUGCAGUGGCACGAUCUCAGCUCACUGAAACCUCUGCCUCCCAUGUUCAAGCCAUUCUCCCACCUCAGCCCCCCAAUUAGCUGGGAUUACAGGCACACGCCACCACACCUGGCUAAUUUCUGUAUGUUUAGUAGAGAUGGGGUUUCACCAUUUUGACCAGGCUGGUCUCAAACUCCUGACCUCAAGUGAUUUGAUCUCAAGUGAUCUGCCCGCCUUGGCCUCCCAAAGUGCUGGGAUUACAGGCGUGAGCCACUGCGCCUGGCCUUAAAUUCUUUAUGUCUAUUUGGUAUCUAGUAACUGCAAGGCCAGCAGACAAGUGUUUACCUCUCUCCUUCAAACACACCAGAAAUAAGGUUUAACCAACCAGCUGGGUAUCCCAUCACCCAGUCAAGUUGACACAUAAGAGUAACUAUGUCAAGCAUAGACCAUAAAAACGCAUGCCUGUAAUCCCAGCACUUUGGGAGGCUGAGGCGGGUGGAUCACUUGAGGUCAGCAGUUCAAGACCAGCCUGGCCAAAUGGGGAAACCCCGUCUCUACUAAAAAUACAAAAAUUAGUCGGGUGUGGUGGCGCAUGCCUGUAAUCUCAGCUACUCAGGAGGCUGAGGCAGAAGAAUCGCCUGAACCCGGGAGGCGGAGGUUGCAGUGAGCCGAGAUCAAGCCACUGCACUCCAGCCUGGGCGACAGAGUGAGACUCUAUCUCAAAAACAAACAAACAAACAAACAAACAAACAAAAAACCAUAAGAUUCCAACCUUUUGGGCUCAGCAAUUACACUCAAGUUCUUUUUAUAGCAAAAUGUAAAAAGCUUUCAUUCUUAAAAAGAAAGAAAUUGGAAAGAAAAACUGAGGCAAUACUAUUCUAUCAUGAAUUAUGUUCAAACCAAUAAAAGUUUUCUAUAUUUAAGUUUGUUAUGGCAAAACAGUAAACCUUUUGGUAUUACCUGUGAAUCAUAUUUUUUUUAAAAAAAUGUAGUUACUAGGCAGGCAAAUCACUUGUGGUUGGGAAUUCAAGGCCAGCCUGGCCAACACGGUGAAACCUGCCUCUACUGAAAAUACAAAAAUUAGCUGGGCAUGGUGGUGCAUGCCUGUAAUCCCAGCUACUCAGGAGGCUGAGGCAGGAGAAUCACUUGAACCCAGGAGGCAGAGGUUGCAGUGAGCUGAGAUCGUGCCAUUGCACUCCAGGCUGGGCUACAGAGCAAGACUCUGUCAAGAAAGAGAAAAAAAGAAGAAAGAGAAGAAAGAAAGAGGGAAAGAAAAGGAAAGAAAAAGAGAGAGAAAGAAAAAGAAAGAAAGAAAGAAAGAAAGAAAGAAAGAAAGAAAGAAAGAAAGAAAGAAAGAAAGAAAAAGAAAGGAAGAAAGGAAGGAAGGAAGAAAGAAAGAAAGAAAGGAGAAAGAAUCUUAUUACCCAAAAGAUCUAAACCAAUUAUUUUAUUUUCAUCUGCCGUAACAUAUAAGUUAUCAUCUUUCAAUAAUUCCUCACAAAAUCUCUAAAAGCUAGGCCAGCAUGAUGCAAUUCUCAGUUAUCUAGCAAACACUAUUUUUAAAAAUGUGUAUUGGGACUAAACUUACCUCUGAAUUCGAUGUUUUCUGCAUAUAAAAGCAAAUAUUCUUCUGAUUCCCACCAUCACAGGAUCCCAAUUAUUAUAAUGGCAUAGGAGAGUUUUUUUAAAAAACUGUUGAACAGUUAUUACCGUUUUGUGAUGAUUUGUAGAUAACAAAGAAAACAGCAUUAUUAACAUUGCAGGACAAUACUUCACACAUAGACUUUAAGGAAGUGAUAAGCCAACAUGUGAUUCUGUCACCAAGCAAAAAUAUCUCACCUUCAUGAACACUAAAAUCAUGUGUUACUCUUUUGAUUUGGCUUGGCAUAAAAAAAGAAAGACUUGAAUAUUCUUAAAAAAUAUUUUCUUGUUGUUUUCCAUUUUUCUAACAAUUGUCCUAACCAAAAGCU